rnacentral:rRNA from 1 species
UACGGAGGGGGCAAGCGUUGUUCGGAAUUACUGGGCGUAAAGGGCGCGCAGGCGGCUGCUCAAGUCAGGCGUGAAAGGCCUGGGCUCAACCCGGGAAUUGCGCUUGAGACUGGGCUGGCUUGAGUGCGAGAGAGGAUGGUGGAAUUCCCAGUGUAGAGGUGAAAUUCGUAGAUAUUGGGAAGAACACCGGUGGCGAAGGCGGCCAUCUGGACCGCAACUGACGCUGAGGCGCGAAAGCGUGGGGAGCAAACAGG